rnacentral:rRNA from 1 species
GGGAGGCAGCAGCAAGGAAUUUUCCCCAAUGGGCGCAAGCCUGAGGGAGCAACGCCGCGUGGGGGAUGAAGCAUUUCGAUGUGUAAACCCCUUUUCCAUAGGACGAAGUAAGUGACGGUACCAUGGGAAGAAGGCCCGGCUGACUACGUGCCAGCAGCCGCGGUAAUACGUAGGGUGCGAGCGUUAAUCGGAAUUACUGGGCGUAAAGCGUGCGCAGGCGGUUAUGUAAGACAGAUGUGAAAUCCCCGGGCUCAACCUGGGAACUGCAUUUGUGACUGCAUGGCUAGAGUACGGUAGAGGGGGAUGGAAUUCCGCGUGUAGCAGUGAAAUGCGUAGAUAUGCGGAGGAACACCGAUGGCGAAGGCAAUCCCCUGGACCUGUACUGACGCUCAUGCACGAAAGCGUGGGGAGCAAACAGGAUUAGAUACCCUGGUAGUCCACGCCCUAAACGAUGUCAACUGGUUGUUGGGAAUUAGUUUUCUCAGUAACGCAGCUAACGCAAUAAGUAGACCGCCUGGGGAGUACGGCCGCAAGGUUAAAACUCAAAUGAAUUGACGG